GCAAUUAGUGUAAUGGAUAGCAUGUGGCCUUCCUAAGCCUGGGGUGGGGGUUCGAGUCCCCCAUUGCCUACCA
rnacentral:tRNA from 1 species